rnacentral:rRNA from 1 species
UAAACCGGAGGAAGGUGGGGAUGACGUCAAGUCAGCAUGGCCUUUAUAUCCUGGGCUACACACACGCUACAAUGGGAAGGGACAAUAGGUUGCGAAACCGCGAGGUGGAGCCAAUCCAGCAAAACUUCCCUCAGUUCAGAUUGCAGGCUGCAACUCGCCUGCAUGAAGUUGGAGUUGCUAGUAAACGCAGGUCAGCCAUACUGCGUUGAAUACGUUCCCGGGGCUU